CAAAAUAGGAAAGUGAAUGGUAUACUUUUCUUGAAUAACAAUUUGUGGGAUACAAAUUGAUGAAAUUUGUAAAGACAUUAGUGGUACAUACUACACAAGUAAUGGAGACUACACAUAUCUACACUACAUCCUACAUCCUAUCAACUCUAGUAGGGAGAACUAGAAGAUAGCUAUUUUGGCAAGAAAACCAAGUAGCUAUCAAGGAAUCUUUUUCUUCUCUUCUUCUCUCCCUCUUCUCGAUUCUUUCCAGCCCCAAGCUCCAAGAAUGGACAGCUUUAGUACCUACACAAUUACACCAAAUUGGGGUUAGAGAGAGAUUCUUAAAUAAAGGGAUGAGAAAGGCAAGCUAAAUUAAGAUGGUGGAAGUAGAGAGGAGCCAGGCUGGAUGGAACAGCCGAGAGGCUGCCCUCCCUUGGCUAGGGAGGCAGCCAUUUGCCACAUUUCCAUCUUUCACCAAAAUAGGAGCCAAGACAUAGAUAUAGAGGAGAAUGAGCCCACUGUUCAUGCUCAAAUUGGGAGGAAUUCAAACCCCUCUUUUCCGUCAACAAGACUAGGGGAGACUGCCAAGUAUGCAGCCCCAAAGCCUUCAUCUUUUUGGCAUAAAUCACAGUAACACAAGCUGAGAAAGGAGCUGGGAAAACAGCCCAGAAUAGCAUCACAACUUCCCAAGGAUCUGGCACAAAAUGCCAAUAUUUAGGAGCUAUAAAAGCAGCCCUCACCUUCUCCAUUCCCUCCACCCUCUAGUCACUACAAGCUUCACCAUAUCAAUCAAGGAAUUUCAGCAAAGAUCAGGGAGAGGGAAGGAGCAAGGAGGGCAGCCGCAUAAACCGUCGAAACCGUCCAAACCAAGGGAGAAAAAUAUUCAGGGGCAAGUGAGGCCCAGCGAGGAACUUAAGUGAAGAUAAGCACAAGAG